rfam:Felis catus isolate Cinnamon breed Abyssinian chromosome A2, whole genome shotgun sequence.
GCCUGGGUGGCUCAGUUGGUUAAGUGCCAGACUUCGGCUCUGGUCAUGAUCUCACAGUUCGUGGGUUCGAGCCCCGCGUCAGGCU